rnacentral:piRNA from 1 species
UGUUUUGCUUUUGAAUUUUAUUGAGGAU